UAAACUCCYGUUGUUGAGGAAGAUAAUGACGGUACUCAACAAGGAAGUGACGGCUAACUACGUGCCAGCAGCCGCGGUAAAACGUAGGUCACAAGCGUUGUCCGGAAUUACUGGGUGUAAAGGGAGCGCAGGCGGGAGAACAAGUUGGAAGUGAAAUCCAUGGGCUCAACCCAUGAACUGCUUUCAAAACUGUUUUUCUUGAGUAGUGCAGAGGUAGGCGGAAUUCCCGGUGUAGCGGUGGAAUGCGUAGAUAUCGGGAGGAACACCAGUGGCGAAGGCGGCCUACUGGGCACCAACUGACGCUGAGGCUCGAAAGUGUGGGUAGCAAACAGGAUUAGAUACCCUGGUAGUCCACACCGUAAACGAUGAUUACUAGGUGUUGGAGGAUUGACCCCUUCAGUGCCGCAGUUAACACAAUAAGUAAUCCACCUGGGGAGUACGACCGCAAGGUUGAAACUCAAAGGAAUUGACGGGGGCCCGCACAAGCAGUGGAGUAUGUGGUUUAAUUCGACGCAACGCGAAGAACCUUACCAAGUCUUGACAUCCCUUGACGAUGCUGGAAACAGCAUUUCUCUUCGGAGCAAGGAGACAGGUGGUGCAUGGUUGUCGUCAGCUCGUGUCGUGAGAUGUUGGGUUAAGUCCCGCAACGAGCGCAACCCUUAUGGUCAGUUACUACGCAAGAGGACUCUGGCCAGACUGC
rnacentral:rRNA from 1 species